CCCCUUGUGGUGUAGUUGGAUAUCACGUUCGGCUGUAAAUGUUAUUUGUUACCGAAAGGUCACCGGCUCGAUUCCGGUCGAGGGGA
rfam:Coniochaeta ligniaria NRRL 30616 unplaced genomic scaffold CONLIGscaffold_3, whole genome shotgun sequence.